rnacentral:rRNA from 1 species
UACAGAGGGUGCAAGCGUUAAUCGGAAUUACUGGGCGUAAAGGGUUCGUAGGUGGCCACUUAAGUCAGACGUGAAAUCCCUCAGCUUAACUGGGGAACUGCGUCUGAUACUGAGUGGCUUGAGUGCAGGAGAGGAAUGCGGAAUUCCAGGUGUAGCGGUGAAAUGCGUAGAUAUCUGGAGGAACACCGGUGGCGAAGGCGGCAUUCUGGACUGUAACUGACACUGAGGAACGAAAGCCAGGGAGCAAACGGG